UACGAGUGCCUCAAGCGUUAUCCGGAAUUAUUGGGCGUAAAGGGUGUGUAGGUGGUCUUAUUAGUCUUGUGUUAAAACUCUGGGCUCAACCUAGAAUCUGCACAGGAAACGGUAAGACUUGAGUAUGUGAGAGGUUUGCGGAACUCAUGGUGUAGGGGUGAAAUCCGUUGAUAUCAUGGGGAACACCAAAUGCGAAGGCAGCAAACUGGCACAACACUGACACUGAAACACGAAAGCGUGGGUAGCGAAUGGG
rnacentral:rRNA from 1 species